CGUAGGUGCGAGCGUUGUCCGGAAUUAUUGGGCGUAAAGAGCUUGUAGGCGGUUUGUCGCGUCGAAAGUGUAAACUCAGUGCUUAACGCUGAGCCUGCUUUCGAUACGGGCUGACUAGAGGAAGGUAGGGAGAAUGGAAUUCCCGGUGGAGCGGUGGAAUGCGCAGAUAUCGGGAGGAACACCAGUGGCGAAGGCGGUUCUCUGGACCUUUCCUGACGCUGAGAAGCGAAAGCGUGGGUAGCAAACAGGCUU
rnacentral:rRNA from 1 species